AACGAGGUUAGAGUCACUGGAUCGAGGGAAACCAUGAAUUUUCAGUGCUAAAAUCCUCGAAAAGAAAAUGUGAUCUUAUUCACUGGGCGGCCUGCCUUAUUCCUGCCUAGAACAGCGGAUUAACUCAGUCACCAGUUCACAUACAUAC